UUUGAUUAAUGAUUUAUUCGUGUUUAAAAUUUUUUCAAAAAUGGGGUUAUCUCUGAAGUUUUGUAUUCGAUUAAAUAUGUAUUUAUAAAUAAUAAUCAGAAAUAUUUACUGACAUUAGAAUCAGAAACUACACGCGCGCGUUAUUUUAGCUUGUAUGUAAUGAUAGAAUGUAAUGAUUGAGCGAUGAAAGUAUUGAAGGGGAAGAAAAAUAUGUAGAGGGGAUGCAAAAGAGAAAGUAGGAUUUUGAGGACUAUCGGAGAGAAGAAAUUGUAGUGUAGUGGUUGAGCGAUGAGAAGAUUAAAGGGGAAGAAAAAUAUGUAGAGGUGAUGCUAGAGAGAAAGUAGCAGUUUUAGGAUUGCCAGAGAAAAGAAAUUAGUACAGCAAAGCCAGUAAUUAUUGUUCUUUUCUUUCAAUCCUCUCACACGACUAUCAAAGAAUUAGUUGGCUACGUACAAAGUGUUGUACCAAGAAGAUCGGCUGGAAAAUCGGAGAUACUGAGAUUCUAAUUAAGCAACAAAGAAGGAAAAAAAGUGCAAUGCAUUGUUUGGGGUGCUGACAAUAUCGAUGCACUACAAUCAAAAAUAGUUGAAAAUGAGACCUUACAUAUUGAUGGAGCUUUUUCGCGCGUUCCCACCAAACCUGAAUAUAAUUUCGGAAAUACAAAGUACGAAUUACAAAUAUUCAAAAGAACGUCUAUAAUUUCGUACGGUAAAUAUGGUUCGAUUGAUGAACCAUCUUUCGAUAUCGAUCCAGUUAAUAUAAGUGACAUAAUUCAUCAGGAGGGUAAAAAAAUCAAAGUCUUCGGCUAUAUUAAAACAAAAUUUCAAGAAGAAAAAGUUGGAGUUUUAAAAAAUUUUGGAACUUAUGGUUGUGGUUCCGUAACAGAUGGACAAUACAAAUUAGA